rnacentral:rRNA from 1 species
UGCCAGCCGCGCGGUAAUACGUAGGGUGCGAGCGUUAAUCGGAAUUACUGGGCGUAAAGCGUGCGCAGGCGGUUUCGUAAGACAGAUGUGAAAUCCCCGGGCUUAACCUGGGAACUGCGUUUGUGACUGCGAGACUUGAGUGCGGCAGAGGGGGGUGGAAUUCCACGUGUAGCAGUGAAAUGCGUAGAGAUGUGGAGGAACACCGAUGGCGAAGGCAGCCCCCUGGGUCGACACUGACGCUCAUGCACGAAAGCGUGGGGAGCAAACAGG